GGGCCCUUAGCUCAGAUGGUUAGAGCAGUGGACUCAUAAUCCAACGGUCGCAGGUUCGAUCCCUGCAGGGCCCA
rnacentral:tRNA from 2 species